rnacentral:rRNA from 1 species
UACGUAGGGGGCAAGCGUUGUCCGGAUUUAUUGGGCGUAAAGAGCGUGUAGGCGGCCAGACAGGUCCGUUGUGAAAACUGGAGGCUCAACCUCCAGACGUCGAUGGAAACCGUCUGGCUAGAGUCCGGAAGAGGAGAGUGGAAUUCCUGGUGUAGCGGUGAAAUGCGCAGAUAUCAGGAAGAACACCCGUGGCGAAAGCGGCUCUCUGGGAUGGUACUGACGCUGAGACGCGAAAGCGUGGGGAGCGAACAGG